rnacentral:rRNA from 1 species
CUGGGCGUAAAGCGCGCGAAGCCGGACUCUUAAGUUGUUGGUAAACGCCGAGGCUCAACCUCGGAACUGCGUUCAAAACUGGGAGUCUAGAGGCUUGGAGAGGGAACUGGAAUUCCUGGUGUACCGGUGAAAUGCGUAGAUAUCAGGAGGAACACCGAUGGCGAAGGCAGCUUCCUGGCCAUGUCCUGACGCUGAGGUGCGAAAGCUAGGGUAGCGAACGGGAUUAGAUACCCCGGUAGUCCUAGCCGUAAACGAUGGAUACUAGGUGUUAGAGGUAUCGACCCCUCUAGUGCCGAAGCAAACGCAUUAAGUAUCCCGCCUGGGGAGUACGGCCGCAAGGUUGAAACUCAAAGGAAUUGACGGGGGCCCGCACAAGCGGUGGAGCAUGUGGUUUAAUACGUCACUAACCGUAGAACCUCACCCAGGCUUGACGUCUGCUGAAAGCGCCUGAAAGGGUGGCCCCGGUAUUUUUAUAUCGCAGCAAGACAGGUGUUGCAUGGCUGUCGUCAGCUCGUGUCGUGAGAUGUUGGGUUAAGUCCCGCAACGAGCGCAACCCUCAUCCGAUGUUGCCAGCGUAAAGUCGGGAACUCUUCGGAAACUGCCCGUGCAAGCGGGAGGAAGGUGGGGAUGACGUCAAGUCAGCAUGGCCCUUACGCCUGGGGCUACACACAUGCUACAAUGGAUGUAAACAAUGGGCAGCAAGACCGCGAGGUGGAGCAAAUCUCAAAAAUACAUCCUCAGUUCGGAUUGCAGUCUGCAACUCGACUGCAUGAAGUCGGAAUCGCUAGUAACCGCAGGUCAGCUAAACUGCGGUGAUACGUUCCCGGGCCUUAUACACACCGCCCGUCACGCCACCUGAGUUGUCUGCACCCGAAGUCGAUGGCCCAACCGCAAGGGGGGAGUCGCCGAAGGUGUGGGGAGCGAGGGGGACGAAGUCG